rnacentral:rRNA from 1 species
UACGUAGGGGGCAAGCGUUGUCCGGAAUCAUUGGGCGUAAAGAGCGCGUAGGCGGCCCGGUAAGUCCGCUGUGAAAUCUCGAGGCUCAACUUCGAGCUGUCGGUGGAAACUGUCUGGCUAGAGUCCGGAAGAGGAGAAUGGAAUUCCUGGUGUAGCGGUGAAAUGCGCAGAUAUCAGGAGGAACACCAAUAGCGAAGGCAGCUCGCUGGGACGUGACUGACGCUGAGACGCGAAAGCGUGGGGAGCAAACAGG